ACACCGGCGGCCCGAGUGGUGAUCGUGAUUAUUGGGUCUAAAGGGUCCGUAGCCGGUUUGGUCAGUCCUCCGGGAAAUCUGAUAGCUCAACUAUUAGGCUUUCGGGGGAUACUGCCAGACUUGGAACCGGGAGAGGUAAGAGGUACUACAGGGGUAGGAGGGAAAUCUUGUAAUCCCUGUGGGACCACCUGUGGCGAAGGCAGCUUACCUGAACGGGUUUGACGGGGAGGGACGAAAGCGGUGGGCACGAACCGGAUUGGAUACCCGGGUAGUCCCAUCCGUAAACGAUGCUCGCUAGGUGUCAGGCAUGGCGCGACCGUGUCUGGUGCCGCAGGGGAGCCGUGAAGCGAGCCACCUGGGAAGUACGGCCGCAAGGCUGAAACUUAAAUGAAUUGGCGGGG
rnacentral:rRNA from 1 species